rnacentral:lncRNA from 1 species
UUUCAGUUGUGAAGUUCAUUCAGUUUGGUAAUGGCAUUCUAGGCCGUUGAAGCUUAUUAUUCUGAAGCUCAUUCAGUUCUGAAGUUCGGUAGUGGCAUUCUAGGCCGAGCUCAUUCUAUGUUUACUGUUUGUGCCUGCCUCUAUGCAAAGUAAUGCUUCCCAACCUACAAUUGCUUGAGCGGAGCUGUUAUAAUCAAAAUAUUCCUUAGUUCCUCUGAUGCAAAGAUGAGCUGUUCAAU